CACACUUCAAGUACUGUGUUCAGUUUUGGGCCCCUCACUACAAGAAAGACAUUGAGUCACUGGAGUAUGUCCAGAGAAGGGCAACAAAGCUGGUGAGGGGUCUGGAGUACAAGUCUUAUGGUGAGAGGCUGAGGUUGUUCAGUCUGGAGAAAAGAAGUCUCAAGGGAGAUCUUAUCGCUUUCUACAAUGGCUUGAAUGGAGGUUGUUGUGAGGCAGACAUCGGCCUCUUCUCCCAGAAUCAGCACAUCAAGGUUCUCUGAUGCUGCCAAGAACUGAGGUUGCCAACGGAACUUCUGUGGAAUGGACUCCUUGCACACCAGCCUCACUCCUCUUUUGUACCCCUCCACAGUGUGUGAACAAUGACGUGCCUUUAAUAACUAAGAAAUGACCCUGAGAUGUCUACACAAGGCAGUAUCAAGAAGAGGAUGGGAUCAUCUCCAGGAACAGCUCUGAGUGAUACUGCUCCUGGAAUACUGGGCUUAUCUCUGAUCACAAACAUUAGAAACUGAAGCUAAG
ensembl:lncRNA